GGAGCAAGGCAACAAGUCCGACUCUCUCCAUCCCGGCUGCAUUUAGCCUCUAAUUUCUGGAGAUUUGUCAAGAAACCUCUUGGCUGUGGGCUUGUUGAUACUCCUGAUAACUGACCAUACCUUCAUCUUUAUUCAUGAGGGUGAGCCUGACCUACAGAUCCAUGCAGCUCGUAGCAAGCAGGUCACUCUAGAGACAUCACUGGACAAGAACAACUAAUUGGUAACCAAGGUUGGGAAGAUUUGAAAUGGGUACAAUGACCUGGAAUUUGGCUGCUGAGAUCAGCCUUUCCUCAAGGGACUCUCACUUGGAAGAAGACAUGUUGUGGUGUCUGAAGUCUCAGAUUUCAGUUGCAGCUUUCUCUUCAAGACAUGGAUUUCUGCAGCUCUUGUGCCAAAUCCUGACCAGCAGAAUUAAGUUCAACUUUUAGAGGUGUGCUAGUCUGAAGCUAGCUAGAAUGUUUUGGUGAGAAGAAGUAGAUUACAGGCUGUGAAAGGAAAACAAUGGUGAUGUCUAGUUCCCUCAGAAGUGUCUCUGAGGAGUUUGAGAAGAAGAAAUGAAAACAUUAGAUAACACUCUUGCCAUUUUUAUCUCACUCUCUCACUUGGGCUGCUGACUGAGCUGCAUCUU